UGACCUGCGGAAGGAUCAUU
rnacentral:rRNA from 3 species